CGCCAGCUGCCAUUAUGUGGACUCUCCAAUGUGACUCUACUAUGAGGAGGAUAACAAACACCUUUACGAAUGUACUGGGCAAAGAAACCAUAUAGCACGUCCACAACAACGCAUCAUUAUAAAGCAAAGAUAUGCAUCAGAAGAGUCUUUUGGAAGAGUCGCCAAUGUCCAAAAAUCCCAAAAGAUGCACAGGAAGGAUCCAUUGACAGCUGGCUUUGGAUGCAAGCAGCAGCAUGACUGAAGCUGAGAUGCAUCUGAAUCAAACAGACAGGGACAGCCUCUGUCAACUUAUGUGUCGAAAUAAAAGCA